CGCGGGGUGGAGCAGCCAGGUAGCUCGUCGGGCUCAUAACCCGAAGGUCGCAAGUCCGAAUCUUGCCCCCGCAACCA
rnacentral:tRNA from 1 species